GUACUUGCUUCAGCAGUUUAUGCACAAAAAUGUAGAACGAAACAGGGAUGAUUAGCAUGGCCCCUGCACAAGGAUGACACGCAAAUUCGUAAAGCGUUCCAUAUUUCU
rfam:Octopus bimaculoides Scaffold59139_contig_36, whole genome shotgun sequence.